rnacentral:rRNA from 1 species
GAUGAACGCUGGCGGCGUGCUUAACACAUGCAAGUCGAACGGUGAACGAGGGAGCUUGCUCCCUCCGGAUCAGUGGCGAACGGGUGAGUAACACGUGAGCAAUCUGCCCCGAACUCUGGGAUAAGCGCUGGAAACGGCGUCUAAUACCGGAUACGACGCGCGAAGGCAUCUUCUGCGCGUGGAAAGAAUUUCGGUUCGGGAUGAGCUCGCGGCCUAUCAGCUAGUUGGUGAGGUAACGGCUCACCAAGGCGACGACGGGUAGCCGGCCUGGGAGGGUGACCGGCCACACUGGGACUGAAACACGGCCCAGACUCCUACGGGAGGCAGCAGUGGGGAAUAUUGCACAAUGGGCGCAAGCCUGGUGCAGCAACGCCGCGUGAGGGACGACGGCCUUCGGGUUGUAAACCUCUUUUAGUAGGGAAGAAGCGAAAGUGACGGUACCUGCAGAAAAAGCACCGGCUAACUACGUGCCAGCAGCCGCUGUAACAC